UUUCCGUAGGUGAACCUGCGGAAGGAUCAUUGUAGAGUCCCACUUUGAAAGAUUGAGAACUUGUACCUAUACCCAUCGAGAACAAGGCAGUAAUGCUAUAAAUAUUGUAUUGUUUAGAAGGGUUUCCCUUUUGCUACCUUCUUCUUGCUUCACUUGAAGCAAGAAGGAGAGUAGAAAUAAGAUAUCGGCACGGCUUGUGCCAAGGACAGCUGUUGUUGGAGUGCACUGUCGUCUUUUUGGAUGUGCAGUGUGCAUUUUUACAAGCGUGAGCGUCUGAAUGACUCCUGGCAAUGGAUAUCUUGGCUCUC
rnacentral:misc_RNA from 1 species